rnacentral:rRNA from 1 species
UACGUAGGUGGCAAGCGUUGUCCGGAAUUAUUGGGCGUAAAGCGCGCGCAGGCGGUCCUUUAAGUCUGAUGUGAAAGCCCACGGCUCAACCGUGGAGGGUCAUUGGAAACUGGGGGACUUGAGUGCAGAAGAGGAAAGUGGAAUUCCACGUGUAGCGGUGAAAUGCGUAGAGAUGUGGAGGAACACCAGUGGCGAAGGCGACUUUCUGGUCGUGUAACUGACGCUGAGGCGCGAAAGCGUGGGGAGCAAACAGG